UAUUCUAAAAUUGAGGAAGGAUUUGACUGUAGCUUAGCUACAGUCAAAAGUUUGCCCUUUGAUUUUGCUUUAUUUACGCCACUGCUAUCAUAUCUGUGGCUGAGUUGAAGGGUAAUUAUAUAAAAUUAGGAGGGUAAUAUUGUCUCUGAACAGCUUUCAAUAUAUUUACAAUUUUGCCAGCUUGUUGUGAGAUGGGCCCUUGAUUUUACAUUAUUUACAUAUCUGCCAUUUUCGAAAGGCAUGGGCUGCAGAGACGGAGAGGGAAAUAGGCGUGGGAUGGCAGGGAGGCAAAGGGACAGGGAGGAGUAAAGGCUGCCAUGAAAGGGGGUUAGGGUUGAAUUUUUCUCCUCAAAUCAAGGGUUGGUGUCGGUGAUUGAGAGAUUGAGAGAUUGAGAGAUUGAGAGGGAUGGGAGAGAGACAGAAACACACCCAUUUGGACUUCAUUUCCCCUUUCUCAGACCCUAGCAGCCACAACACCAACUCCCUGAUCUCUGCAAUAGCGUCGCCGUUGGCUCCUGCUUCCGAAAACCAAAACCGCACAAACCUGGAUUAAAGAUGGCUCUCAGAGGUCUUCAAAGCUCGAUGGGUACAUGAAGAGAUUGGAAGAUGAACUCAGAUUUCUUCCCAUUUUCUCCUUCCCCAAAACCCGCCACUGUGCUUCCCUCUCCAACGCAUUCGGAUCGAACGCUCCGAUCACGUUCUCUCCUCGGUCGAUUCACCUCCGGGUUGGAGAUCGGAGAGGAGAGACGGCGGCAUGGCGAGUAGAGUAGACCACGAAAACGACUACCUGUUCAAGAUCGUGUUGAUCAUGACUCUGGUGUGGGCAAAUCUAACAUUCUCUCUAGAUUUACCAGGAAUGAGUUCUGCUUGGAGUCCAAAUCCAUCAUCGGAGUCGAGUUCGCCACCCGAACUCUCCAGGCAAGUUCGCUUGCUGAGUUUAAUCUUGAUUUUAAAUUUCAGGGGGUUUCAGAAUUUGAAUGAUUUUGGUUGAAGUUUUGUUUGGUGGCCUGGAGAUUGUGAUGAUUGUUUGGAUUUUGUUUCGGGAUUUACGUUGUUUAGAGUACAUCGAAAAAUUUGUUACUAAUAGACUGGGAUGAAUCUCUUCAUUUUGCGCCCUUAGUUCUCAAUUGGAUUCACGGUAAACACCAAGAAAUUUAGAGAGUAAAAACCUUGAAACUUAAAGGUAUGAAAAUUUCAAAUUUUUUAUUUUUAUUUAUUUAUAGUGUUAAUUUCUGAUUAAUAUUAUUCUUCAUAAACCCACUUAGAAUCUUGAUCUGAGUUUUGCUUAAACUCAACUUGGGGUUUUAUAAUUUUUUAGUUUUAUAAUUUUCUGGUGCACCUGUGGUUAAAUACAACUGAAUUUGAUUUUAUCCAUAAGUGCAGAUCUUACCCCGUAGUGCUCAAUCCAGAGAAUUGGUACUCAUAAUCAAUAAGAUUCAUACGGGUUAUUGGUAUCAAUUUUGGUUGCAGCAAUGCUAUUCUUGCUGAACACCUGCCAUGUAAGUGAUUCAGAUUGUAGUAAUUUCCGUACAAUUUAACACUUUUGUGUGGAAUUGGUGCAACUUUUGGGGUUUGUGCGAUGUUAUUUCCGACUCAAUAUCAUGGUCUUCAGUAACUCGGCUGGUAAUUUUUGGCAUAAUCCAUUUGAAAAUUUUAAUUGUUUUUGUUGUUGGUUAUGUUUAUUUGUCGAAGUAAUGAUUUUGGUUUCAUGGUCAGGGCUUUAUGAGUAUGAUCAUGAUGCGUCAAAAGCUAGGGAGCUUGAAGUGGCAAUUAGAAUGAAAGUGAUAAUACAUAAUAAGUGUUUGGUUUUUCUUUUUGUUUUUGUUUUUUUUUUUUUUUAUAAUUUCUGCAGCAAAUUUUUUGAAUUUCUUAUUUUUCAGACACCAAAUUCCAUUUGAAAAGAGUAGGCUGGUUAAGUAGCUUUGAUUUAUUUGUUGGAUGUCAGCAUGUGGGACACUUGAGUUUGAGUACCAUUGUCUGUUCGUCUGUUCCAAUAUGAUAAUGCAAUGUUAAUUUAGGUUAUAAUGAUGAA